rnacentral:rRNA from 1 species
AUUGAACGCUGGCGGCAGGCUUAACACAUGCAAGUCGAGCGGAGAUGAGGUGCUUGCACCUUAUCUUAGCGGCGGACGGGUGAGUAAUGCUUAGGAAUCUGCCUAUUAGUGGGGGACAACAUUCCGAAAGGAAUGCUAUUACCGCAUACGCCCUACGGGGGAAAGCAGGGGAGCUUCGGACCUUGCGUUAAUAGACGAGCCUAAGUCGGAUUAGCUAGUUGGUGGGGUAAAGGCCUACCAAGGCGACGAUCUGUAGCGGGUCUGAGAGGAUGAUCCGCCACACUGGGACUGAGACACGGCCCAGACUCCUACGGGAGGCAGCAGUGGGGAAUAUUGGACAAUGGGCGGAAGCCUGAUCCAGCCAUGCCGCGUGUGUGAAGAAGGCCUUUUGGUUGUAAAGCACUUUAAGCGAGGAGGAGGCUACCUGGAUUAAUACUCUAGGAUAGUGGACGUUACUCGCAGAAUAAGCACCGGCUAACUCUGUGCCAGCCGCCGCGGUAACAC